GUAAACUUUAAAAGAAAACUUAUUUUGUAAAAUGUCAAUUUGCAACUUGUAUCUUUGUUAUUUCAAAAUUCUUUAUUCGCAAAUUGUCAAUUUGUGACUCGUAACCUGGCGAUUCAUUAAAAGUCAUUGUUACAUAAUGCCUACCGAGCUUAUGACGACAGAUGGCGCUUAGUUUCAUGUUCAUUGUAAGUAGGAGAAUCUCCAUUUGAAGUCUAUCCCUAAGUUAUUCAAAUCAAUCAUGAGGCCCGAGAACACAGAUAUUUCGUACUGCAUUUCUUUUAGACAAUAAAUUCAAAUUAAAAAAAUCGCACCUGCUCUUUCUCAAAAAGAUUUUUACAGUGUAGUGUACUACCAGUAAGACAAAUAAUAUCAAAAGUAUAGAAACUAGCAACUAUACAUGAGAUUUAGGGUGUCACUUCCUGUAUAAAGGUAUAUACAGUUGUUUCGCUUGAACUUAUCAACUCCGAAAACAAAAAUUACCGUAAUUGGGACAAUAUCCCUAAUGCGCCAAGAAAUGGGGAGCUCAAAAGUCACUUGUAAACAAACAUUAUCUGUGUAAUGGUAUUUGACACUUUUCUAUGAUAAACAAGUGACUGAGCAGGAAAUGUUUUCUUUAUAUUUGAAUGGGCCAAAAUUAGACUAAAUAUAUGAAAUAAAUGAUUUACUUGAAAAGUUCAUACGGAUAUUGUUCACUAUUUGGACUAAAUGUAUGAUUUGAGAAAUGGGUCAGCACCCAUGUUUGGUUUACCUGGCUCAGUUGGCGUCUGUGGUCAAUCGUCGUCGUCCAUCGUCAUCGUCCGUUGUCGUCGUCGUCGUUAACUUUUUACAUUUUUAACUUUUUCUAGAGAAGCACUGAAUGAAUUGGAACCAAAUAUGGAAUAAAUAUUCCUUAUGAGGUGCUGACCAUGUGUUGUUACUUUGAACAUGUUGAAGCCGAUCAAUUAUUCAAGAUUGCUCUUAGCGGGGGACUUAGUUUGAACCCUAUGGAGAAUACAAACAAAUGAAAUUGAGAACGGAAAUGGGGAAUGUGUCAAAGAGACAACAACCAGACCAAAUACAAAAAAACAGGCAGAAGGUCACCAACAGGUCUUCAAUGUAGCGAGAAAUAUAUUUUUUUAGAG
rnacentral:lncRNA from 1 species